rnacentral:lncRNA from 1 species
GAAACUUGUUUUGCCAUUUUUUUAUGAGAUGUAUCAUAUCAACAUUUAUAUUAUUGCCUUUGCUAGACAAUAUUGAAUAAAAGAUUUUUUAGAAAAGAAACAUGUCUUAAAACAAAUAGUUGGUAAAGAUAUACGAGUUUUGGGUUUGAAAAACUUUGUUUUGUUCUUUUAAUAAAACACUAGAGUUUAAUCCGCGUGUCCGCUCGGGUGAUGGUUUUUAAUUUUUUUUUAAUAAACUGUUUAAUGGCAUUUCUAAACCAUUGUUUAUUUGAAUAUUUUUAGGCUUCUA